rnacentral:rRNA from 1 species
GAUGAACGCUGACAGAAUGCUUAACACAUGCAAGUCGAUUCGAUUUACCUUCGGGUAUUGAGGAUGGCGGACGGGUGAGUAACGCGUAAGGAACUUGCCUCUUGGUCUGGGACAACUGUUGGAAACGACAGCUAAUACCGGAUAUUAUGAGAUUCUCGCAUGGGAAACUUAUGAAAGCUAUAUGCGCCAAGAGAGAGCCUUGCGUUCCAUUAGCUAGUUGGUGGGGUAACGGCCCACCAAGGCGACGAUGGAUAGCCGGCCUGAGAGGGUGAACGGCCACAAGGGGACUGAGACACGGCCCUUACUCCUACGGGAGGCAGCAGUGGGGAAUAUUGGACAAUGGGCCACAAGCCUGAUCCAGCAAUUCUGUGUGCACGAUGAAGGUCUUCGGAUUGUAAAGUGCUUUCAGUUGGGAAGAAGAAAGUGGCGGUACCAUCAGAAGAAGCGACGGCUAAAUACGUGCCAGCAGCCGCGGUAAUACGUAUGUCGCAAGCGUUAUCCGGAUUUAUUGGGCGUAAAGCGCGUCUAGGCGGAAAAAUAAGUCUGAUGUUAAAAUGCGGGGCUCAACUCCGUAUUGCGUUGGAAACUGUUUUUCUAGAGUACUGGAGAGGUGGGCGGAACUACAAGUGUAGAGGUGAAAUUCGUAGAUAUUUGUAGGAAUG